GAGAGGGAGAGAGAGAGAGAGAGAGGGAGAGAGAGAGAUGUUCAGGUCUCGACCAUUUUGGAUCAAACUUUUAUCUUCUGGCUCUUUAGUGGCUCUUCUGUCCCUGAUAUGGAAGCAGGAAAGGAGAGAAGACAUGCGGUGAAUGUCGCCGGGUCCGGGAAUCGAACCCACGCCGGCCACGUCGAGGACUGAAGGCCUCCCAGCGUGGGUCACACUGUCCCCUGCACCACCACGACUCGCCCUAUUUUCUUAUCUUUAAAUAAAAUCUCCUGAGUAGG